UGGACAGGCGAUGAGCCCCUGCCCUACCAACCCACAUUCUCAGAUGACUGGCAACUUCCAGAGCCCUCCAGCCAAGCACCCUUAGGAUACCAGGACCCUGUUUCCCUUCGGUAUGCUCUGAGCUUAAUAGGGACUGCGUGGUCCUGGGGAGGGAGGGACAGGGCUGUUCCUUUGGAUCUCUGGCUCUCUACAUCUUAAGAGAGCCAAGAGGGUCUCUUUUAGCCAGAAAAACAUGUACAAGGACAUCCCUCUCCUACCUUGGGUGAAAAACAGUGUUCUACCCUCCUAGGCUCCCAUUGCUUCUUCUCAUGAUACUACCCACACAUGCUUCUGAUUUCCCAUACUCAAGUAUAAAGUGCUUAGGGCAGAACUCAGAUGUAGAAAAUUCCACUCCCGGAAAUGUCUUCAGAAAUCAAUGACAUUUCAGACCCCUCCUGCCUGCAGAAAGCCCCACCUAACACUGACCUGCCAGCAAACUCUAAAGAAACCCAAAAGUCACCAUCAGACUGCAGGCCGGAGAUACCUGAGGGGAAUCUCAGGGCUGGGACAUAGGCUUAAUUUCUGAGGCCCCAUUCUCCAGCCAUCCUGACUCUGUUUCUUAGGCGGGGAAGUCAUAGGUUAGGGAGCACCUCACACUUUCCUCAGGAGAAGACACACAACCAUGACCCUCAGCCUGGGGACCCCAACUCCAGGCCCUCCAGCCCCAAACCUGCCCAGCCAGCCCUGAAAAUGCAAGUCUUGUACGAGUUUGAAGCUAGGAACCCACGGGAACUGACUGUGGUCCAGGGAGAGAAGCUGGAGGUUCUGGACCACAGCAAGCGGUGGUGGCUGGUGAAGAAUGAGGCGGGACGGAGCGGCUACAUUCCAAGCAACAUCCUGGAGCCCCUACAGCCGGGGACCCCUGGGACCCAGGGCCAGUCACCCUCUCGGGUUCCAAUGCUUCGACUUAGCUCGAGGCCUGAAGAGGUCACAGACUGGCUGCAGGCAGAGAACUUCUCCACUGCCACGGUGAGGACACUUGGGUCCCUGACGGGGAGCCAGCUACUUCGCAUAAGACCUGGGGAGCUACAGAUGCUAUGUCCACAGGAGGCCCCACGAAUCCUGUCCCGGCUGGAGGCUGUCAGAAGGAUGCUGGGGAUAAGCCCUUAGGCACCAGCUUAGACACCUCCAAGAACCAGGCCCCGCUGAUGCAAGAUGGCAGAUCUGAUACCCAUUAGAGCCCCGAGAAUUCCUCUUCUGGAUCCCAGUUUGCAGCAAACCCCACACCCCAGCUCACACAGCAAAAACAAUGGACAGGCCCAGAGGCUGAAGCAAACAGUGUCCCUUCUGGCUGUGUUGGAGCCUCCCCAGUAACCACCUAUUUAUUUUACCUCUUUCCCAAACCUGGAGCAUUUAUGCCUAGGCUUGUCAAGAAUCUGUUCAGUCCCUCUCCUUCUCAAUAAAAGCAUCUUCAAGCUU
rnacentral:lncRNA from 1 species